GUGAAUCAUCGAAUGUUUGAACGCAAAUUGCACUCGUUGGUAUUCCGGAGAGUAUGCCUGUUUGAGGGUCAGUUUAAAGAAAAAUCGGUGUGGUUGCUGGUUUUCGUGGUGACGGACCGGAUUUGGGAAGGCUUGCCUUCGGUUAAGUGACCUACAAUUUUGUAUGAUUGUUCUCGAACGUAUCGAAAUGAGUUUACGUACGGUGGCG
rnacentral:misc_RNA from 1 species